rnacentral:lncRNA from 1 species
UCGGGUCCACUCUGGGGGCGCCCAGUGCUACAACCGGAAACGCGGCUGGAGGCCAGUGGAUGCUUGAUGGAGCAGUUCGCGCCGUGGUGCGCGCGCGCCAGGGCUUAGGCUCCAAGUAAAGGCCUUCUUCAUCCAUCCACCCACAACCAGGGGUGUGGAAGGGGAAAUCAGGCUUUGACAUAAAUGAAUGGAGACUGAUACUCCUGGGAGAAGAGGAUGUUGUCCCCAGGAUCCAUGUGGUCUGCACCAAUAUCUUCUUUGUUUGGAAUGCACCUUUUUCCCAGUUCCCAGGAAGUGGCUGUGGAAUUUGCUUCCAAAUAUAGACUCGGGUGGCCCAGGCUGCUGCAGACAGCCCCUUUGGCCUCCCAGGCUGAAUGGCAGAACAGUGAUUGCCUUCCAGGAGGCCCAGGCCCACAGGCCUCUGCUUGGAGCUGUCGUGUGGCAGCCAGCGCUGCGCCCAGAGCAAACAGGCGGUGGGAAGAGCCUGAAACACCGGGAAGCGAAGGGAGCGCCUGGGGAGGCUGAAGGAGCGGCGCUAGCGGCAAGUCCCUCCGGGUGCGGAGUCUGGGGCCUUGAGGCGGCAGGACUCCUCCGGCCCCAGGGAGAGCCACAGAGCAAAGAUAGGAGAAGGGCCGCGCCUGGCGGGUG